UCCGUUUUGUCAACGGCAGUCUCUCUAGAGUGCCCAACUUAAUGCUGGCAACUAAAGAUAAGGGUUGCGCUCGUUGCGGGACUUAACCCAACAUCUCACGACGCGAGCUGACGACAGCCAUGCAGCACCUGUGUCCAGGUUCCCUUUCGGGCACACCCCCGUCUCUGGGGGCCUCCAGGACAUGUCAAGGGUAGGUAAGGUUUUUCGCGUUGCAUCGAAUUAAUCCACAUAAUCCACCGCUUGUGCGGGUCCCCGUCAAUUCCUUUGAGUUUUAACCUUGCGGCCGUACUCCCCAGGCGGUCGACUUCACGCGUUAGCUUCGUUACUGAGAGUGUCAAACCCCCAACAACUAGUCGACAUCGUUUAGGGCGUGGACUAC
rnacentral:misc_RNA from 1 species